GGGCUUGUGGUUUAGUGGUAUAAUACUCCCUUAGCACUUGUUAGAAUGCAACCCUGCCUGGGAGUGGUCCGGGGUUCGAUUCCCCGCGAGUCCA